AAGCUCGUAGUUGAAUUUCGGGAUUGACCGUUGACGGUCAUGCCUUACGGGGUAUGAACUGUCGCCGUUGAUUUCUCACCUUCUGGAGAAGCUCGAUGUCCUUAAUUGGGUGUCUUGCGGAACCAGGACCUUUACCUUGAAAAAAUUAGAGUGUUUAAAGCAGGCAUUAUUGCUCGAAUACAUUAGCAUGGAAUAAUAGAAUAGGACGGCAUGGUUCUAUUUUGUUGGUUUCUAGGAUCACCGUAAUGAUUAAUAGGGAUAAUUGGG
rnacentral:rRNA from 1 species